GGGCACAUGGUGUAGUUGGUUAUCACGCCCGCUUAGCAACUUCCGUUGUUUCCUGCGGGCGGUGCCCGGUUCAAUUCCGGGUGUGUCCA